ACGCGCUCGGCACUCCCUCCUCCACCGCCUCUGCCGCGAGUUGUGGCCUCUCGCACUCGGCACCCCCUCCUCCGCCGCGGCACAGGGCCCCCAUCCAGAUUCGGCAGCGCGGCCCAGCCGAUGCCGGUGCUUGGGCGGGCAGGACAGCCCCCCUCACCGCGGCGCUCCUCCCCUCCGGGAUCCGGCGAGGGCGCGGCUCGCAGCACCGGCGGCGCCGGCCGGGCUGCCUCGUGGAGCAGCGGCUCCUCCCCUCCGGGAUCCGGCGAGGGGGUGCCUCGUGGCGCGGCGGCUCCUCCCUCCGGAUCCGGCGAGGGCCGCGGCUGGGCGGGCAGCGGGGGCCGCGGCUGCAGGGCCGGCGUGGCACCCCCACCUUGUCUUCCGGAAAGAUGGCCACGCUGCUAUGCUGACGAAGGAAGAACUGCUCGUGCCAAUCAGCUUAGCCAGAUCCUUGCGUGAAUUAAGGUAGUGCUCCCCUUCCUCCUUCCUUUAGUUUCGUACACUGCACCAGUAGGUUUGUGAACCUGUCCUUUUUGUCUUACUGAAUCAUCAAUUGUGUAUAGAAUUAAAAUAAGCCACUUUAAUAAGCUACUGUUAUUAGUACAAAAUGUUCCAAGGUUCUCCAUACAUUUAGCAGGGAGAUUUUCUAUUUGGGUUGUUUUGCUAACCUGAACUAUUGUUCUGUCUAUACUGAGAUAAUAGGAGGAUGUAUUACUCUGCACCAGUUCUAGAGGCAAGACCAGAGGUAUGUGCAAUUGCCCUUUUUUUCUUACUGAAUCAUCAAUCAUCUAUAGAAUUGAAACACUCUGCACCAGUUCUAGAGGUAAGACCAGAGGUAUAUGCAAUUGCCCUUUUUUUUUCUUACUGAAUCAUCAAUCAUCUAUAGAGAUAAAACAAGGUUUUAACUGUAGUAGAAAAUGUUUAGUGCAGGAGAACACCCCUUACGUUUUGUGGAGGAGAACACCAGUUGCCCCAAAAUCUCCGGAGAAGUCAGCGAAUCCUCAGAGCAAGAGGUACAGAAUUGGUGAGUGAGACUUCCACCCCUCUGAUUCAUUACUGAUAUAAACAGCCGGAUCCAAUAUUUUCUUAUUUCGAUCACCAUCCUGUGAGGCUAUGUCAUGUUUGCGUUCAGAAAUCAGCAGCAAGGUAUCAUGACGACGUGAUCUAGGAAAACAGCUCUCCACUGCUUGCUUGCUCAACCUCCUCUUUUUCCUCUGAAGUUCUAUCAUAUAAGAAGUUUCUUAAUUUUGGAUAGGCCACUGAAAACUUAUUUGUUGUCAAAAUGGGUUAGUCACAUGUUUAAAGGAAAUGGCUGCCAGCCUUCCUGUGCGCCGGUUAUUUUUCUUUUAUUGGUGUGAAAUGUUUCUUUUGUCCUAAUGUCAUCUGAAUUUUUAUUCAUUGUGUAUAUUAGCCUUAGUGUAAUUUCUUUACCCAGCAGGCCAUCUACUGCUUGCAUGCGCUUCAUUUUGUUUUAAUCCAAUAAAGCAGUGUAAUUUCCCAAGGUAAUAUCGUUGCUGCCUUUUGGUCUGUGCUUGGUAAUUCUCUUCUAUUAAAAGGGGGUCUACUUUCCUCAUGAGCUUGAAUUUAGUAUGCUUGAUAAUAAGUUCAACACCCAAACUAGGAAUAGAUAAUAAUCUUAAUGAGCCGAAGCAUUAGGUAUUUCUUUUGCACGACACUUAUGAUUUGUGUUUAACUAAAACUAUUGGCAAUGUUCAUGUGCAAAUGCUCACAAAUUCCACACUCUCGACAGGAAAGAUCAAUCUGAUAUGUGGCAAUGCAAUGCUAACCUUCUAUCCAAACUUGCCUCUCUGACAAGGUUAGCAUAAGUUUUCUCCAUAUUUAUUGAUAGAUACCAACAUGUAGCGAAAUAAUAGAUCAAUUAUAACAUUAAGUCCUGCAGGUUUUCAGAACUAACUGACUGGUAUAAAACUGAAUAAGUUAACGGUUGAUAAGUUGUGCCUGCUUGCACAAUCCUUGCGCUUAUCUGGACUUCUGCUAGGUGGAACUUCCAUUGGACUGCUAAAUUUUCUGCCCAUCUUUUUUUAAAUUUUUUGAAGGCUUUGCUUGCCAUUUACGGUUAAUAUUUGCAGGCUGUGCGCAAAAAUUUUAUCUUAUCUGUGCUACUCUUAUGCAUGUUGGGACAAUUAGCCUUACUGACGCAUUAUUUUGUAUAUCUCAAGAUUUGCUGAGGCUGGAGUUGUCUAACUGUGGCCUUACAGCACCUGAUUUUGCACAAAUCUGUAUAAAUCUCUCUCGUAUCAAUACUCUUGACUUAAACUUUGGAGGAAAUUCAAUUAAACUGGAAAUUUAAUUCCUACUUAGAUGUUCUGGUAAUAUGUAUUACCAUAUUUCGGGAGCCAUAAUCCGCUGUGUUGUGUUGUACAAUGCAGGGAUGUGAUGCUGUUCAGGCAAUGCUUGUGAAUCUUCCAUGCAGUAUUAGAUCACUCACACUGGACAGAUGCAACCUUGGGCUUGCUGGAAUUGUUUGUAUUAUUCAGGCACUAUCAGGAAAUGACCAACUGGAGGAGCUGCGCUUGGCCGAGAACACAAACUCGGCACUAGAGAGAAUAAUUCAGUACUAAGGCAUGCAGGAAGUAUCAACAACCAAUGAACAAAAACAAUGUAGCAACCCUGAAACAAGCAAUGCUAUAGUCCGAGGAAAUACUCUGCAUAUA